CUGGGUUGACCAUUUUGGGAAUUUAAUAGCUUAAUGAACCUUAGGUCUUUUCAAACCAUUCCUCCUGUCAAACAUGUUUAAAAUGGGCUUAGGAACCUUCGUAAGUUAUGUACACGCACUUUUGAGGCCAGGGGUAAGGGUUUUGAUUAAACAUCUAUGGUUGAGCAAUCUUAUUAAUUAAAUGGUUUUAAUUGCUUAAAUAGGUACUCG
rnacentral:lncRNA from 1 species